CGCGUAGGCGGCUUUUUAAGUCAGGGGUGAAAUCCCGGGGCUCAACCCCGGAACUGCCCUUGAAACUGGGAAGCUAGAAUCCUGGAGAGGCGAGUGGAAUUCCGAGUGUAGAGGUGAAAUUCGUAGAUAUUCGGAAGAACACCAGUGGCGAAGGCGACUCGCUGGACAGGUAUUGACGCUGAGGUGCGAAAGCGUGGGGAGCAAACA
rnacentral:rRNA from 1 species